rnacentral:rRNA from 1 species
UGGGGAAUUUUGGACAAUGGGGGCAACCCUGAUCCAGCGAUGCCGCGUGUGUGAAGAAGGCCUUCGGGUUGUAAAGCACUUUUAGUGGGGAAGAAAAGCUUAUGACUAAUAACCAUAAGUAUUGACGUUACCCAAAGAAAAAGCACCGGCUAACUCUGUGCCAGCAGCCGCGGUAAUACAGAGGGUGCGAGCGUUAAUCGGAAUUACUGGGCGUAAAGCGCAUGUAGGUCGAUAUUUAAGUCGGGUGUGAAAGCCCCGGGCUCAACCUGGGAAUAGCAUUCGAUACUGAAUAUCUAGAGUAUGGUAGAGGGAAGUGGAAUUUCCGGUGUAGCGGUGAAAUGCGUAGAUAUCGGGAGGAAUACCAGUGGCGAAAGCGGCUCUCUGGUUCAAUACUGACACUGAGAUGCGAAAGCGUGGGGAGCGAACGGGAUUAGAUACCCAGGUAGUCCCUGAGCGGGCUGGCAAGGCGCAU